rnacentral:rRNA from 1 species
CCUACGGGCGGCAGCAGUGAGGAAUAUUGGUCAAUGGGCGGAAGCCUGAACCAGCCAAGUAGCGUGCAGGAUGACGGCCCUACGGGUUGUAAACUGCUUUUAUACGGGAAUAACGCGCCUUACGUGUAGGUCUUUGCAUGUACCGUAUGAAUAAGGACCGGCUAAUUCCUUGCCAGCAGCCGCGGUAAUACGGAAGGUCCGGGCGUUAUCCGGAUUUAUUGGGUUUAAAGGGAGCGUAGGCCGCAUGUCAAGCGUGCUGUGAAAUGUUCGGGCUCAACCCGGGCCUUGCAGCGCGAACUGGCGUGCUUGAGUGCGCGGAAGGCAGGCGGAAUUCGUGGUGUAGCGGUGAAAUGCUUAGAUAUGACGAAGAACCCCGAUUGCGAAGGCAGCUUGCUGCAGCGGAACUGACGCUGAUGCUCGAAAGCGCGGGUAUCGAACAGGAUUAGAUAUCCCGGUAGUC